UACGUAGGGGGCAAGCGUUGUCCGGAAUCAUUGGGCGUAAAGCGCGUGUAGGCGGCCCGAUAAGUCCGCUGUGAAAGUCCAGGCUCAACCCUGGAAUGCCGGUGGAUACUGUCGGGCUCGAGUCCGGAAGAGGCGAGUGGAAUUCCUGGUGUAGCGGUGAAAUGCGCAGAUAUCAGGAGGAACACCGGUGGCGAAGGCGGGUCUCUGGGCCGUAACUGACGCUGAGGAGCGAAAGCGUGGGGAGCGAACAGG
rnacentral:rRNA from 1 species